AGAGUUUGAUCCUGGCUCAGGAUGAACGCUGGCGGCGUGCCUAACACAUGCAAGUCGAGCGAAGCGAUUUAGCGGAAGUUUUCGGAUGGAAGUUAAAUUGACUGAGCGGCGGACGGGUGAGUAACGCGUGGGUAACCUGCCUCAUACAGGGGGAUAACAGUUAGAAAUGACUGCUAAUACCGCAUAAGCGCACAGCAUCGCAUGAUGCAGUGUGAAAAACUCCGGUGGUAUGAGAUGGACCCGCGUCUGAUUAGCUAGUUGGUGAGGUAACGGCUCACCAAGGCGACGAUCAGUAGCCGACCUGAGAGGGUGAUCGGCCACAUUGGGACUGAGACACGGCCCAAACUCCUACGGGAGGCAGCAGUGGGGAAUAUUGCACAAUGGGGGAAACCCUGAUGCAGCGACGCCGCGUGAAGGAAGAAGUAUCUCGGUAUGUAAACUUCUAUCAGCAGGGAAGAUAGUGACGGUACCUGACUAAGAAGCCCCGGCUAACUACGUGCCAGCAGCCGCGGUAAUACGUAGGGGGCAAGCGUUAUCCGGAUUUACUGGGUGUAAAGGGAGCGUAGGCGGACUGUCAAGUCAGUCGUGAAAUACCGGGGCUUAACCCCGGGGCUGCGAUUGAAACUGACAGCCUUGAGUAUCGGAGAGGAAAGCGGAAUUCCUAGUGUAGCGGUGAAAUGCGUAGAUAUUAGGAGGAACACCAGUGGCGAAGGCGGCCUUCUGGACGACAACUGACGCUGAGGCGCGAAAGUGUGGGGAGCAAACAGGAUUAGAUACCCUGGUAGUCCACACCGUAAACGAUGGAUACUAGGUGUAGGAGGUAUCGACCCCUUCUGUGCCGCAGUUAACACAAUAAGUAUCCCACCUGGGGAGUACGACCGCAAGGUUGAAACUCAAAGGAAUUGACGGGGACCCGCACAAGCGGUGGAGCAUGUGGUUUAAUUCGAAGCAACGCGAAGAACCUUACCAAGUCUUGACAUCCUUCUGACCGGUACGUAACGGUACCUUCUCUUCGGAGCAGGAGUGACAGGUGGUGCAUGGUUGUCGUCAGCUCGUGUCGUGAGAUGUUGGGUUAAGUCCAGCAACGAGCGCAACCCUUAUCCUUAGUAGCCAGCAGUAAGAUGGGCACUCUAGGGAGACUGCCAGGGAUAACCUGGAGGAAGGUGGGGAUGACGUCAAAUCAUCAUGCCCCUUAUGAUUUGGGCUACACACGUGCUACAAUGGCGUAAACAAAGGGAAGCGAAGCCGCGAGGUGAAGCAAAUCCCAAAAAUAACGUCCCAGUUCGGAUUGUAGGCUGCAACUCGCCUGCAUGAAGCUGGAAUCGCUAGUAAUCGCGAAUCAGAAUGUCGCGGUGAAUACGUUCCCGGGUCUUGUACACACCGCCCGUCA
rnacentral:rRNA from 1 species